ACGUUCGUAUACAACGUCAUUUUUUCACCAUUACACAACGUUGCCAAGACGUUGUGGGAAUGUUGGUAUAUUCCACGUCAUUUUUUAACGGCGAAGCAACAUUCUGUGUUUUGCUACGUCAUUUUCAAAUAACUACACAAUUAUUUAACGUUGUUUUUGUGUCAACAAUUUGCAGUGUAUCGUUUACAACACUGACAAACAACAUUGCGUGAUUAUACAAUUUCUAUAACGUCGGAAGUUUCUAAAACACGGCAAUUUAAGCUUGGCAAAUUGAUAAUUGAACUCUUAAGCCCGGUGCACACUAGAGCUAUAUAUGUGCUUAGCAAAAUGUCACACGUGCCCAAUGGCGUAAGGAGAUAGCUCUCGUGUGCGGG